GCGCUUGUUUGGUUGUCAUUGUGCACUACUGGUUCAAAAUAUUUUCCUUACUUCUUGGGGUUAAUUAAGGCCUGUUAUUAUCUAUUUACCUGAUACUCAUUACACACUCGCUCAUUAGAUUGUAACAGGAAGGGGAAAAAUACAACGGACCAGACCGGGAUUCGAACCCGGGCCCCCUGGAAUCUCUAGUCGUGUGCUCUACCAACUGAGCUAUCUGGCCACCGGCGAUCGAACCCGGCUGACCGUUACACUCCUUCCUUCUUAAAUGUCUUCGCACCUGAAGACAUCAAUCCAGGAUCUUUAUCCCCUGGCAGGCAUUUUCACCUGUUCCAGGGGCUGGUCACGGCACCAAAUGUAACAGAAAGGGAGAAAAUGCAACGGAUCAGACCGCGAUUCGAACCUGGAUCCCCUGAAUUCUCUAGUCAGAUGCUCUACCAACUGAGCUAACUGGCCACUGGCGAUCGAACCCGGCUGACCGUUACACUAUUAUGGAACCACCAGAGGGCAUUCUGUGUUUUGGAAUAUUCGGUCAACUUUACAUAAUUAGUAGUUCAGACAGCACUGUCUACUUCCUCCAAUUUGACCAAAGUUUCUGUGUUCCUAAUCUUAAAUUCAGGUUCAGAACUAACCUUCUUCUGUUUUGAUUAACCUCAACUUCCUGAUGAACUUGAGAUAUCGUCUGAACUGCCACACAGUCAUCCAUCUUCUCCGCCCUAUCAAGUUUCUCAACCUUGCGGAUGACGUUACCAAGAAUGACAUCUGCUAUUGGAGAGUUUCACAAAGGAUGUUUCCACAUUUACGCACCCUUCUGGACAUUUCUUCUCAGUUCCAUCCGCAAGAAUUAUCUUUCGAUCUCUAUCUGUCCUGUUUAUCAGUGACGAAACUACUGUGGACAAAAAUUGUUGAACAUCCAGUAUCUCUAAGAAGUUAAGAACUGUUGCAUUCUUACCCUCAACGAUCCCUUUGUAUAUAUCCAAACCUGGAACUGACAGUGUGUCAUGUUAAACACCAGGACGCGCACCUGGAAGUUUUACAAACGCCCACUUGCGUACUCCUCUAUUUUGCCUCUUCCUACAGAUUCGACAAAUCCUUGUUCUGAAAACACAAAUUCACUGUACCUCCUUUCUUGGUCUGAGAAGUGUCUCGAUAUUCCGUUUCUGCAAUGGACAGUCUCUUUUGAUAUAUCUUGCAGGUCUGUUUAAAAAAAUUCUUUUCUGAA